rnacentral:lncRNA from 1 species
AUGUCUCUUGAAUUUCAAUAUUAGAUUCUGUCCACCUUUAUAUCUUGUGCCCAGGGAAGGGAAUCUAGAUUAUAGUGUAUACUUUAUCUUGUCAUAGUCAGAACCAAAAACUUUUAAAAAGAAAAGUUAAGCUAUUAUCUUGGCAUGAGGUUCCAACUCUUUCUUUCAACUUGUAUUUUAAAAAGCAAUGAUAUGCUUCUGCAUUAUUCCUUUGUAACUACGGAUGAGACUGAGUAAUGAGUAAGCUUGUUUUUCCCAAGAUUUAAUUAUGCAUUUGGUUUUCAAGCUUUUGUAACUACUGAUGUUAAGUAAUACUAAACAUUUUGUUUGUUGUUUUUGUAUAGCUUGAGAAAUGGCAGCAGAGACCUUUCUAUUCACUUCUGAAUCUGUCAAUGAGGGUCACCCUGACAAGCUGUGUGAUCAGAUAUCCGAUGCAGUUCUUGAUGCCUGCCUUGAACAGGAUCCUGACAGCAAGGUUGCCUGUGAGACAUGCACCAAGACUAACAUGGUCAUGGUCUUUGGAGAGAUUACAACCAAGGCCAAUGUUGACUACGAGAAGAUUGUUCGAGACACGUGCCGCAACAUUGGAUUCAUCUCUGAUGAUGUAGGUCUUGAUGCUGACAAGUGCAAGGUUUUGGUCAACAUUGAGCAGCAGAGCCCUGAUAUUGCUCAGGGUGUGCAUGGCCACUUCACUAAGCAACCAGAGGAGGUUGGUGCUGGUGAUCAGGGUCACAUGUUUGGGUAUGCCACUGAUGAAACCCCCGAGUUAAUGCCAUUGAGCCACGUUCUUGCAACCAAAUUAGGAGCUAAGCUUACCGAUGUUAGGAAGAAUGGCACCUGCCCAUGGCUGAGACCAGAUGGUAAGACACAAGUAACUGUUGAGUACUACAAUGAAAAUGGUGCCAUGGUUCCCAUUCGAGUCCACACUGUCCUCAUUUCUACCCAGCAUGAUGAGACUGUCACUAAUGAUCAAAUUGCUGCUGAUCUUAAAGAGCAUGUUAUCAAGCCUGUCAUUCCUGAGAAGUACCUAGAUGAGAAGACCAUCUUUCACCUUAACCCUUCUGGCCGAUUUGUCAUCGGUGGACCUCAUGGUGAUGCUGGUCUCACCGGAAGAAAGAUUAUCAUCGACACUUAUGGUGGCUGGGGUGCUCACGGAGGCGGUGCAUUCUUCUUUAUAUAUUGACUACAUCAUUAGUUUAAAUUCCUUAUAUUUUAAGAGUGAUUGAGUGAAUAAUGAUUAUAGGAAGAAAGACGUAAUAAGCAUCUUUAUCCAGUCAGGGUUGGUGAGUGACCUGCAGUAUCCGGUAUCUCAAAUUUCAUCUCUCACCAACCUCAACAAAUCCCAUUCCUUCAUUUUGGCCGUUAAAUCUAACGGCCAACCACUUCUCCCGGUAACCCCUCAUGUAAGGUGCGUGGCAUUCAUCAAUCUAUGUAUUGAUAGUGUAAUAUGGUAUUAUAGAUUAUUCAUUUUUAAUAUUUAUUAAUGAAUAUUAAAUAAAAUUAUUAUAUAUGAAUAAUGAAUGAUAUAUUAAUUAUGUAUCAUGGUGUUUGUAUCACAUAUUCAUAAAUUUUCUCUCCACUAAAAAGUUUGAUUCAUGUAAACGAUAUUUAUUGGGAAAAACAUAUAGAAUCCUGAAAGAAAUUAAUUACUUACCAUAAAGGUGAUGAUGAAAGGAUACUUUUGGUUAUCUUUGAUUAAAUAUUUAUACAUUAUAAUUCAUUACUAUUAUUAAAUGUAAUAACUAUUUUAAUAUCUAUUAAUUAUUAUAAAUUAUAUAAAUAUAAAAGUGAAGUCGUAAAUUCUUACCCACCCCAUUAGCAUCCCUAUAAAUAAGUGUCCUUAACUAGCAUCAGUCAUUCCAAAUUCUCAGCGAGUGUUGUACACGCGCUCUCGUUUCAACCUCUUUUACUCACUCGCUCCAGGUUCGUAAACCUUCUCGUUCCAUUUUCCUUCUUUGUCUUCUUUUCAAGUAUUUAAAAUUGGAACAUUGUUAUAGAUCUGAAUUUAAUUUAUACCGUUUUUGAGUUUCUGGAUCUGUUAAAGGUUUUUAAGUUUUCAAUUCGUUUUUUUUUGUUUCUAUUUAGAUCUGAUGCUGUUCAUGUAUUAUGAUUUUUCACUAGUGAUUUUAGUUUUGUUGAGGCUGAUUUAGUUGGAUUAGGAUCAUGGGGUCCAAGAUUAGAUUAUUUUCAAUUUGGAACUCAAGAGUUUUGAAAUGGUAUUUGGGAAAGAUUAUUUUUUUAUGCAUAAACUAUUUGUUUGAGUGUUUGGGGUUUUUUUGGUACUACCAACUAUCUAUCACCUUUUGGCUAAGGAACUAUGUGUGUGACCCUCCCAACAAGUGUCGCUGUCAUUAAUCGAAUUUUGACCUUUUGGUCAUCGUGGUAUCUAGCAGCGCCUUACAUUACUCGACCAAGACUGUGUGUAGUGUUUGGGGUUUAAUUAAACUUGCUUAAAAUAUACUACCUGUAUCCCUUUUUAUCUUUCCAUUUGAAGAUUUUUUUUAUCCUAUUUAUUAUCUAUUCAAUUUAGAAUUGUGCAUUAAUUGAUAUUACUAUAUUUAUUGGUGGAAACGUUAAUGGCUACAAAGAUAGAAAUGGUAUAUUAGAAAAAACUAUAUCAUAAUUGUCAUCUAAAUCACCACAAUUGUUUUUGUUUUUAUUUUUUUAAAAUGUGUGUUUUGAAAUGAGACAAAUAAAUAGAACCUAUAAAAAAGGUUUUUUUGUACGUGGAAGAUGAUUCUUGAAGAAGCUGGAUUAUGAAAAUUGAGCAGUAAUUCAAAAACGUUGUUUGAUUAUUUGAAACCUUUUCCCCAUUUCACAAGAAACUACCGAAUAUUAUUUAUCUAUCUAAAUAACUUUUCAUACUAUUUUUGGUUAUUUAGUGUAUGAAGUGAUUUUUUUAGACAACCAAUCAUUUUCAGCAAAACAUCACAUAAGUAUAAUAAAUUGAUUCCAUUAUAAUUGAUUAUGACAAUAAUCAAUUAUUGAAAUAAUUUAUUUUUCAUAGAUAGUUAGUCCAGAGACUCAUUGUGCUUGCUCCCAUGUCUCUUGAAUUUCAAUAUUAGAUUCUGUCCACCUUUAUAUCUUGUGCCCAGGGAAGGGAAUCUAGAUUAUAGUGUAUACUUUAUCUUGUCAUAGUCAGAACCAAAAACUUUUAAAAAGAAAAGUUAAGCUAUUAUCUUGGCAUGAGGUUCCAACUCUUUCUUUCAACUUGUAUUUUAAAAAGCAAUGAUAUGCUUCUGCAUUAUUCCUUUGUAACUACGGAUGAGACUGAGUAAUGAGUAAGCUUGUUUUUCCCAAGAUUUAAUUAUGCAUUUGGUUUUCAAGCUUUUGUAACUACUGAUGUUAAGUAAUACUAAACAUUUUGUUUGUUGUUUUUGUAUAGCUUGAGAAAUGGCAGCAGAGACCUUUCUAUUCACUUCUGAAUCUGUCAAUGAGGGUCACCCUGACAAGCUGUGUGAUCAGAUAUCCGAUGCAGUUCUUGAUGCCUGCCUUGAACAGGAUCCUGACAGCAAGGUU